CAUCUGUUUCAGACAUUUAUUUCCAUUUAAAUGACACUUUGAAAGAUCGAGGAGCCAAUCUGUACCGCAAAGACAACUUAUCAUCAAAGACUCUAGAAGUACAAUCGUAUCAAUUCACAAGACUUGAUUUCUUCAACUUAAAUGAUAGCUUUUAGUUAAAAUAUACCUGAGAGAAGAACUCCAAAGGAUGCCUGCCUCAUAAUCUGCCCUGGACUUGUCAUUCCCGACAGGACACCUCAAUGGACACUGCCCCACCCCAUUAAGACUCUGAAGCGUAGGGUCCCAUUGCUUUGCUUCCGAAAUCCAAGGGGAACAAGAAGUACCCAUCUCUUACAAAAAUAAGCAUGUCAACAUUGUUCAGUACAUUUUUCUACACAUAUAAAAUCAAAAUAAAUUGUAAAAAUAUUUUUCCAGGUACAAAAUAAAUAUAGAAAACAUCAAUGUAAAAACAAAAGGAUUGUCCGAUUCAGACCAUUACCUUGCCAAUUUUUCGGGAAGAGUGAAUUAUCACAUCAAUCGACAACCUAAAACUCACCUAGUUAAGUGCAUUAUUUUCAUAAUUUAAUUUUCAUUAAAAAUAAAUAUGAUUAUUAACCAAUAAUAAGGACAUAUACCCAUUUCCAAAAUACAAUGACAUAAGAGUCUAGCAGAUCCCCCUAAUAUACAAGGAAAUGACAGUUUCAAAUAGCAUUCAGUGACAUGUAAAUUUAAUUUCGUGUCUUUUAGGAAAAGCAAAAUUUGACUGCGAAGUCUCCUCUGGUUGCAUUAAGUAAUUUCCAGUCAUGGUAGAUUUUAGUGAUGUCUUAUUUGACCAGGUAAAACAAGUCAUCUAUUUCCCAUCUGAUACUCUCUGGAGCCGAAUUGAACCAAGUAUCACUAUGUCUUUGGCUUACCUCUUCGGGGACCCAGGGACUGGACCCCUGAGCCAACAGACCUCACGCUGGCUUCGCUGGCAGGAGGGUCUGCGCCUGGCUGUGUCCACGCCACACUGGCCAACUUAACUCUGCGCUUCUUUGACCAGUGAAUGGAGGUAGAAUAGAUGAUGUAAAGCAGUAUGACACAAAAUGUUGCAUUUGGCUAUGGAGUUCGUUUUUCUGCUCAUAUUUAAAAGUGAUUGUGUCUGAUAAGUAGGAAGAUCAUUUUUUAAAUUAAUUAAAAACUAAUUUUUUGUUUGUCAGUCUUCCGAUUGGCAGGUGCCAGGAUGCACUCCAACUUCCUCCUGUUGGCGUGGCUCUUGCCCUGUGCAGAGGGUGGACAGGUUCCCUUCAGCUUCAAGGCCAACCUGUAAUCCCAACUACCCACUGGCUGAGGCAGGAGGCUCGUUUGAGGCUCGUUGAGUUCAAGGCUGCAGCGAGAUCAGGCCACUACGCUCCAGCUUGGGUGACAGGGUGAGACCCUGUCAGAAAAAAAGAAAAGAAAAGAAGAGGGAAGGGGAUGGGAGGGGAGGGGAGGGGAGGGGAAACAAUGGGUCUCAAAGAAAAUCCUUUAAGAACACACAGAAGCAGUAGGGAGAGCCCACGCCUGUCCUCAUUUGUCCCUGGAGCUGUGGGCUGUGAGCUGAUGCUGUGAAGGCCAGACCCAAAGCCAGUCACACAGAGGCAGCAGCUGGACCGGCCUCGCCGACUGAGACCAGUGGCCACACAGACACACACCUGACAAGGUAGACCACGAAACACAGACGCAGGCCUACUGCCAAACAGACGACUUCUCCCUCAAAGCACAGUCAUCUUCAGAAUGAGAGGCGGCCCAUCCUAUGGAACCGAGAGGCGUGGCUCUUAAAUUUGGGCUUCAAAAGACAAGCUCAGUCCCUGAUUUUUUCCACCUGAGAAGGAGGCUUUUCUGAACAUGACCCAGUGCGUUCAGAGCAGCCAGGAUGAGGAAACACAUCUACAAAGAAGCAGCUUAAUCCAAACACAAGAAAUGGUAUGCAAAAUAGGAUAUCAGACGUACUUUUGCAAUUGAACAUGGUCAAAACCAUUUUGCAGCAAGUAACUUUUCCUGAGUUCAAGUAAGAGUUUAGUCCAACAUUUAUAUGUGACACAGCCAUGUGAGGCCUCUUCUCUGAGUACAAAGUAAAGUCUGG
rnacentral:lncRNA from 1 species